GGGUGCUUGCAUGGAUUGGCUUGGCAUCUGGUGCUCCUCUCACCCACUCUGAAAAAGCACACCAGGCAGCCUCUGCCCUUCGGCCUGGGCCCCAGCAAGGGGGACCCAAGAGCAGCCUCAAGCUGCACUCUGAAGCAGCGCCGCCAGACUGACUGCAGACCUGCUAUGCUUGGGUCACCUUAGCUGCCUUGCUGGGCCUGAAGCUGAAUUCUACAUGUUGAUGACUCCCCAGGCUCUGUCUUCAGGGUGGACUUUGUUCCAGAGUUCCAGACUUACCGUCUACCUGUCCCUGGAUAUCUCCAUCUGGACAUCCAAUGGGCUUUUCCAACUCAACACGUCCACGACAGACCUCCUCAUGCUUGCCAUCCACAGACCUGCUUCCCUUCCUGGGCCCCCUGGCCUGGCAGCCCUCUCACCGCCCCCCCUCCAGCCUGGGAGUCAGCUUUCACACCUUCAUGGGCUAUUAGCAACUGAGCCUGGGGAAUCCUCUUCCACCGGCUUCCCCCCAUCUCACCUGCCUCAGCACCGCUCACCACACCUACUAUUGAGCACUCCAUGCCCUCCGGGCUCCCCUCUUCCUCCCUUCUCCCAUGCUCCCAGUGCUCUUCCUAAAGCAUAAGGAGGUCAUCCCUGGUGGAAACCCCUGCCUGCAAGGAUAAAGGCCAAACUUCCUAGCAGGACACCUAAGGCCCUGAAUGGUCCAGUGGGAUAAAUUCAUGAAUGCCACUCAUUGUUGUCUGAAUCACAUACCACACGUGCCCCCCAGGUCCCAUUCAAACUUCAGUUUAGACCUGGCCUGGUCCCAGUUGCUUUCUGGAUGCUUCCCACCACAUCCUGCUCUGUCCCACCUCUCCCCCCACUGGACAAGUUCAAAUGCUCCCCUUUUUAGGUGCCCCUUUCAAAGUCCCACGACAUCCUGUAUUGGACCCCUUCUGUACCCUCCCCCAUCACUCUUACUGCAGUCUUUUUCCUUUCUGUUUUUUUAUUGUGGUAAAAUAUACAUAACAUAAAACCUUACCAUUUUAACCAGUUUUAAUUGUACAGGACAAGUGUGAAAGUCAUCAGCCCACUUGUGACUCCAGUCACUUGUUGCAGUGACCGGCUUCUUGAAGUGUUACCUGACGGCGCCUCCCGGCCUGCGCCUGCGUGAAGGAGCUCUUGUUUCCUGCUCUGGGGUUUCUCUGACACUGUGGUAAGGGCACCUGCAGGACAGCUGGGCAUUCUGCUCCGGUCACAAGGACUAGCUCUCACUAACUGCACCUGACGUGAUGGGCUCCUCCCUGCCGCAGACUUCCCUGCCCCACCUGGAGCAUCCUUCCUUUGUGUAGUUAACUCUCCCAUAUCCUUCAGAACUCAGAUGUCACCGACACAGAGAAGCCCUCCUUGAUCACCACUCCUCCUCCAUGGGAUCAGACUCUGGUAUUUGCUCUUAUAGCAUCCUCUACUUGGCACAGUUUGUCAUGACAUAUUUAUCUGUGUGCUUAUUGAAUUAACCCUUAUCUUGCUCGCUGGGCUGUGAGCUCCGAACAGAAGGAGACUGUGACUGUCUCGUUUGCCCGGCAUUCUCGGCACCUACCAGGAGGCAGAGCCCAUACCAGACGCUCAGAAAAUCUUUGUUAAGUAAAUUAUUUUAUUCAAUGUUGAACAUUUUUUUUAUUAUUGAGUACCUGUUCUAGAAGUGGGUAUAAAACUCCUGCAGAGCUUAAAUUCUAAUGAGGGAAUAAGGUAAGAAAAAUAGACAAACAUAUAACACGUUAGUUGGUGAUGGUUGCUAUGGAGGGAAGCGGAACAGGAUGAAAGGGACAGGUGCCAUCCUGUAGACGUUUGUUAGGGAGGGCUCUGGCCAUGUUCAGAUGGAGCAAGUGAGGCUUGUCUGGGAGAAGGUGUUCUAGGCAGAGGGAAUGGUGAGCAUAAGGAUGUAGCCGGCAAGUGCUCAGAGAGACGUGCUGGCCCAAGGCCAAUGGAGGAUGCAAGAGGCACCUGUGUCCCAGUGCUGGACACUUCAGAAGGCUUCGUGGUGGGUGGCAUGGGAAGGAACUCAUUGCCCAGGCACCCUGGAGAGGAGGUGGAGGAAGCUCGACAGGAGCCUUGGAAGGACCACAGCAUUGGCUUCUCUUCCCCACUUACCCUUGGGAGGACCUUGCCUUGUAUCUUUUUGUACUUUUCAGCAUCCCUGGCUCCUGAGGGCUGAGCACUUGGUAGGUGCUUUCUAGAAAGAACAAAACCCAUUCAAGAAAAUGCCUAAAACCAUUUUGCUACGACAAGGUGUCUCAGCACAGAAUGUUUCUCCAAUUACUAUCUCUGUUGAGCCUCCAAACAGUCUUCAAAGCAGCGAAUCUCCACUGUCCGGAGGCGUUCAGAAGUGUUGGGUUGGCCAGCACCAACCAACCGACAGCCCAGCCGGCACUUCCCUGGGGGCUCCUGCGCUCCAUCCUCCUGCCUGUCCUGGACAUCUUGGCUGCCUUCUUUCCUAGACAGGCUCACAGAGGGGACGUCCCACUAGAGUGGCCUGAGCUGGGUGAAAGCCAGGUCCCUGGAGUCUCCUGAUUCCCUAAAACCAGGGCUGACCUGCCUGGGCUGGGUCCCCCUUCCCUGGCAGAGCAGCCUGAGGCUUUGACCAGAGGUGCCUCCAUUCAAUUCCAGGACCCACUGUGCUGGGUGCAGGAGGGGGAUGGGCUAUACCACACUCACUUGGUGACCAUUCCAAUCAUCACCAGAGGGGAGCUCCAUUCCCCCAGCAGCUGUGAGGAACUCUGAAAAAGAGCUUCUAAACCAGGGAGAGGUAAGGAGAUCCUCUGGCAUCCUUGUCAAGCACAACCAACAAGCCUCACAUCUUUUUCCUUUAACCACCACCUUCUGGAGGCCUGGCCACUGCCAAGCUGAUCCCAGAGCCCAAGAUUUCUGCCCUCCUGGUUCUGGCCGCUGAGUGAAGGAGUGGCCAUUCUAGCCUAAGCUUGAAGUUAACCAUCCCUUCUCUCCAACCUCAUCUGCCUGUUCCUCCUCAUUCUGGUCGUCUAGUUAUUUGAGUCUCCUUCUACUACAGUUGCUGGGCACUGGGAUUCCAUGGGUAAGUGGGGGUCAUUCCCUAAGGAGGAACUCGUGUUCCCAUGAGGGAGAUGCACACGUC